CCGGCACCGGUUCACCUUCCCGCGUGGAGGACCCGGCGGCC
rfam:Saccharomonospora marina XMT15 chromosome, whole genome shotgun sequence.